GACGAACGCUGGCGGCGUGCUUAACACAUGCAAGUCGAACGCUGAAGCACCAGCUUGCUGGUGUGGAUGAGUGGCGAACGGGUGAGUAAUACGUGAGUAACCUGCCCUUGACUCUGGGAUAAGCCCGGGAAACUGGGUCUAAUACUGGAUGCUACAUGUCACCGCAUGGUGGUGUGUGGAAAGGGUUUACUGGUCUUGGAUGGGCUCACGGCCUAUCAGCUUGUUGGUGAGGUAAUGGCUCACCAAGGCGACGACGGGUAGCCGGCCUGAGAGGGUGACCGGCCACACUGGGACUGAGACACGGCCCAGACUCCGACGGGAGGCAGAGGUGGGGAAUAUUGCGCAAUGGGCGAAAGCCGGAUGCAGCGACGCCGCGUGAGGGAUGACGGCCUUCGGGUUGAAAACCUCUUUCAGCAGGGAAGAAGCCACAAGUGACGGUACCUGCAGAAGAAGCGCCGGCUAACUACGUG
rnacentral:rRNA from 1 species